GCAUCAGUGGGGUAGUGGUAACCUGGGUCGUUGCCAAAACGGUUUACGUAAUAGUAAAUCGACCCGCCGGGGGUUCGAUUCCCUCCUGAUGCA